rnacentral:lncRNA from 12 species
CUCAUAGAACACAUGUUGGAAGCUAACUUCACCUAGCUCAGAAUUUAUAUAUUGCUUUGUAUUGAUCUCGCUUUAUGUUUCCUAUCAUAUGUAAUGCUGAUACCAUUCAAUAAUUUAUUCAUUCAACAAUUAUCUGUUGACAUGUCAUGACAGAUAUGAUGGGAUCAUAAAGUACCAGAUAUGUUCAAAUAGCAAGAUACUUCUGUCAUGGAAAAGCACUGGGCUGGAACUGAAUUAUCUAUCAAGAAGAUAAAAUAUCAGCACUAUCUAGUAGAGCCUCCUGUGAUGAUGGAAACCCUCUACAUCUGGUCUGUCCAACAUGGAAGUCACUAUGGAAGACUAUGUUGUGGGCUGGCCCAUUUACUGAGGAGUAGAAGCUCCUCCUCCUGAAAAGUCCUGGAUAGGAGCAUCUGAAUAACCAAACCUGCUUGCAAAUCUACCACCCAAACACCAGAUAAAGGGGGAAAAAUUCAUCUGGAUUUUUUUCCAGCCUCUAAAAUGUUCUAGGUUUCACUAAGCCUCGUACAGGAGGACAUACCUCCCAAAUAGGAAAAGGAUUCAGACAACAGCAAAGGAGAUUAAAUAAUCCUUUCUCUCUGUCUUUAUAAUUGAAUAUAAUCAUGUCAUAAGGCAAAAAGAAGGCAUUUUUGUUUUGUUUCAUAUUUUGAUUUGUAAAGAGAAGGAUGGAGUGUUGGUUGCAUGUUUAAUCUGCACAUUGGUCUGAGGAAAGGGUUUAGUACUGGAUUCUUAUAAAUGAGCUGUGUGGUCUUGGUCAAGUCCCUAUUUCCUGGAACCUUGGUUUUCUCACUUAUAACUGAGGGAAUUGGAGUAGAUGAACACUAGAUUACUUACCAAGACG